AUUGAACGCUGGCGGCAGGCCUAACACAUGCAAGUCGAGCGGAUGAGUGGAGCUUGCUCCAUGAUUCAGCGGCGGACGGGUGAGUAAUGCCUAGGAAUCUGCCUGGUAGUGGGGGACAACAUUUCGAAAGGAACGCUAAUACCGCAUACGUCCUACGGGAGAAAGCAGGGGACCUUCGGGCCUUGCGCUAUCAGAUGAGCCUAGGUCGGAUUAGCUAGUAGGUGAGGUAAUGGCUCACCUAGGCGACGAUCCGUAACUGGUCGGAGAGGAUGAUCAGUCACACUGGAACUGAGACACGGUCCAGACUCCUACGGGAGGCAGCAGUGGGGAAUAUUGGACAAUGGGCGAAAGCCUGAUCCAGCCAUGCCGCGUGUGUGAAGAAGGUCUUCGGAUUGUAAAGCACUUUAAGUUGGGAGGAAGGGCAGUAAGUUAAUACCUUGCUGUUUUGACGUUACCAACAGAAUAAGCACCGGCUAACUUCGUGCCAGCCGCCGCAGUAAGAC
rnacentral:rRNA from 1 species